AGUAAGAGACAAAUAGCAGGGCAGCUGGGAGAACAAGCAGCAGGUCCAAAAGCUGACGGUGGACACCCACAUCAGAAGUGAGGUCACUUGUACAUACCAAGACGCCAAAAAGAACAUUUAUAUGCCAGAGGAGAAGACUCUGCAUAAGCAGAAGGGAUGGGCAAAAGUCCCUGGCACGUAAACCAAGGGAGGGCUGGCAAAACCUGUCUGUCCCCAGCCCUCCCCUUCCAGCUCAGGUGGUGUGGCUGGGACCAGCUCCCGCAUCCCUCAGGACCACCGCUCUGGACCACCUGGGACCAGGACCACCACUCAGGGCUGUGUGAGGAGCCCACAACGGGGCUGCAGGCAGGGAGAAGCCAGUGCUGUCAUCAGGAGGGAAAACAAGCCCGUUCUGAGGAUAUUACUGAGAUACUACCUUUAAUGGGCCAGAAUUCAAGUUCGUUUGUUUGUUUAUAUUAAGAGGAGCCKGAUCUUGUUAGAAAGGCUAAUGUAUGCUGCAGAUAAAAUCCUAACUAAACCUCUUAACUCUUUGGCUACUUAUCUACCGUGGUGUUGAAUUUAAUGUGUAAUGUUUGAGGUGUGCUGCCAAGGAUUCAGGUUGUAAUCUCUGGAAGAGAGGAAGCCGAUCUGUAUCCUGUAUGCAAAUCGCUGAGGAUGUUAAUGGCCAUCAGCAAAUAAUAAAUAGUUCUCUGAAUAAUGCCA
rnacentral:lncRNA from 1 species